AGGUAACGGCUCACCAAGGCCACGAUGCAUAGCCGACCUGAGAGGGUGAUCGGCCACACUGGGACUGAGACACGGCCCAGACUCCUACGGGAGGCAGCAGUAGGGAAUCUUCGGCAAUGGACGAAAGUCUGACCGAGCAACGCCGCGUGAGUGAAGAAGGUUUUCGGAUCGUAAAACUCUGUUGUUAGAGAAGAACAAGGACGUUAGUAACUGAACGUCCCCUGACGGUAUCUAACCAGAAAGCCACGGCUAACUACGUGCCAGCAGCCGCGGUAAUACGUAGGUGGCAAGCGUUGUCCGGAUUUAUUGGGCGUAAAGCGA
rnacentral:rRNA from 1 species